rnacentral:rRNA from 1 species
GAUGAACGCUGGUGGCGUGCCUAAUACAUGCAAGUCGAGCGAACAGACGAGGAGCUUGCUCCUCUGACGUUAGCGGCGGACGGGUGAGUAACACGUAGAUAACCUACCUAUAAGACUGGGAUAACUUCGGGAAACCGGAGCUAAUACCGGAUAAUAUAUUGAACCGCAUGGUUCAAUAGUGAAAGACGGUUUUGCUGUCACUUAUAGAUGGAUCCGCGCCGCAUUAGCUAGUUGGUAAGGUAACGGCUUACCAAGGCAACGAUGCGUAGCCGACCUGAGAGGGUGAUCGGCCACACUGGAACUGAGACACGGUCCAGACUCCUACGGGAGGCAGCAGUAGGGAAUCUUCCGCAAUGGGCGAAAGCCUGACGGAGCAACGCCGCGUGAAUGAUGAAGGUCUUCGGAUCGUAAAACUCUGUUAUUAGGGAAGAACAAAUGUGUAAGUAACUAUGCACGUCUUGACGGUACCUAAUCAGAAAGCCACGGCUAGCUACGUG